CGGCGACAUCGGUAGAGGUGAGGCCGCCAUUCUGACUCAUCUAUACCUUUAUCAAAGCUGAACCAGGCAAUGGCAGACACAUCUCAACAGCGGAUGCGAAAGAUCCAGCUAGCUGUAUACACAAGAGCAUUUCUUUCAACUGUUGGCAUGCUGCCUACCACUGUAUCUUCAGAUUCAGAGUCAGGCUCUGAACAAGUGGCCAAGGGAUAAUCUGAUUUCCAAGUUGAGAUUACGUCAAGAAACAGUGACUCAUCUGCCUCACAAUUACUAGCUACACCAGCGCUGGCCGGGUCAUCACAUGCGAGGGCAGCUGGGCCUCCUCGGACACACCUGAAAAGCACACAGAUGAUAAAGAAGAAAAAGAGGAGGAGGAAGAAGAAGAAGAAGAAGAAGAAGAAGAAAAAGAAGAAGAAGAAGAAGAAUAGACAAGUAAAUUAAUAAGUUAAGAUGAAAGCAAAUAAAAAAAAAUGAUAGAUGAGAGAUGAGAGAUUAAAACCACGCAUACAAGAAGAGGAGGAGAAAGACGGAGAACAAGAAGAGAAGGAGAAAGAUAAGAACAAGAAGAGAAGGAGAAUGAUGAAUAACAAGAAGAGAAGGAGAAAGAUGAAGAACAAGAAGAGGAGGAGAAAGAUUAAGAACAAGAAGAGAAGGAGAAAGAUGAAGAACAAGAAGAGAAGGAGAAAGAUAAGAACAAGAAGAGGAGGAGGAGGAGGAGGAGGAGGAGGAGGAGGAGGAGGAGCAGGAAGAAGGCACAAGCUGCACCUAAAUAAACUUCCCUACUCCGGUGCCUGUACGCCAGCACACGGUCGGUCUGUAGCACUGGCCUGGCGAGUUUCUAGUUUUAUGACUCAAAAAUUGGAACGUAAAAUUGCAACGUCCCUGUAGCGCCGCCGCCCAGUGAGGACCUCGGCUUCUACUACUACAGGCACCCGGGGACGCGAUACGCACCGAAAUAAAAUAAAAAGGCGAAAAAAAGUGAAAAAAAAAAAUUAAAAGAAGGAAGGAAAUAUGAGAACAUUGUGGACUGAUAUGCAAGUUUGUGGUUUUCUUUUUUGUUGGUUUGUCGUACGUGUAGAGAAGUUAUAGUGUAUUGAAAGAGAAAAAUAAAGACAACUGCAAUACGAUAACAAUGUGAAGAAAAGAUAAAGAGAAGUGAAAGAAGAAAAGAAAACAGAAAUAAGAAGCUUGUGGUUUAUUUAUACAAGUGUCUGAUUUUUUUGUAUACGAAGAAAAGUUCUAAUACAUAUUGAAACAGAAAAAUAAACACUAUUACUUAUAAGAUGGCGUAACCAUAGAUAGGUACGGAUAGGUAGGAACAUUAAAUCAAGAGACAAUUUUAAAUGUUUUCUGGUUAUUAUGAAAGUUUGUUUGUAGUUUUCGUAUCCUACCGCUGACACCAUUUUAUGUUCUCUCUAUCCUAUCUAUCUAUGGUCACAGCGGCUAACUCAGACUUACGAGAUAUGAUGGUUUUCAAGGUUUGGGUUUUAUGUCUUUGAGAGGAGUUAAUGAGGAAGAAAUGAACAGAGGAGG